GCUGGAACAAUGACAGCCUAAUUGAAAGCAUGUGACCACAAUUUUAAACCCGUGAUGUGAUUGCUCCUUUCAAGCCCUGCUAUGAGCCAUGCGGAAGGUAAAAUGUUUGUCUAAGGCAUGGAUGGUUCAGAGGCAGUUCACUUGUCUGUGCAGUACCAAAGGCCAGUGAGAAUACAGCAGGAAUAUUUCUAGCACAGUCUAACAGAAUUUUCAUCCAUCAAGAAUCAAGGGACAUCAGUGAUGCUCUGCCGGCUGCUUAUCCUGAAGCCAACAGAUAGGGGGACCCUGACCCUUGUGGAAGUGUUGGAAAGACUUUGGCAUGCUAGGACCCCCAGGAUUGAUGGAUAACCUCUGGUACAGAAGUUAAGCUGACUGGUGUGAUGGGGUCAGGCCAGACAGCUACAGGAGGUGCCAUAGAUGCCAUCAACAUGUAAGGGAAGGGCCAAAGCCCCCUCAAACCAGGAAGUUAGCCAGCUCCAGGCAGUAACAGUAGCACCUGUGACAGAGAACACAUGAGACUGAACACACACAGCCAGGGU